rnacentral:lncRNA from 10 species
GAGAAACUAGGCGCUCAGUGUGAGAAACAUGCUCAGCCGUCCAAACCCAAAGAAUGGACUUAGAGGCAUGAAGAACAGCUCUCCUAAUCAUUCCCCGCUUCUCCUGUGAACAGGAUAUUCAUGACAGACAUCAUUUCAGCCCAGGUAUAAAAGCUGGGUUCCAGGAAUUGGUCUGCUAAAUGGCUGGGAUCUUGUAGGAGUGGUUUCAUUUGCUUCUUGAAAUUCCUAACUUCAGUUCUUGUAAGAGGAGCAUUUACAAAGCCAAUUUUUCCUUGUCCCAUGGGAACUUGCGUAAGCGUGAACAUGCUAGAUGCCUGCUGUGUGGAAGGGAUAGAGCCCACCUUCGCAUCUCUGGUAGCCAGCUGGGUUUAAAGUGCAUCAAGACUCAAUGAAGACCCUGUCAAAAUAUGACUGGAGCAACCCUGAAAGAAAAGCAUUCAAGAUGGAAUGCCCACUCUCAGCCUGAGUUCCUGAAUGGAACCUCUUGGAAAACCACCCACCAACCUAAAUAUCCACCCAGGGCAGUUACAUGAAUAAAACGUCAAGUUCUAUUGUGC